GAGAGAGGCCAAAAGCAGUAAGGACUGCUAAUCCAUACCCCCAUGGUUAA
rnacentral:tRNA from 3 species